UCCAGACUCCUACGGGAGGCAGCAGUGGGGAAUAUUGCACAGUGGGGGAAACCCUGAUGCAGCGACGCCGCGUGAGCGAUGAAGUAUUUCGGUAUGUAAAGCUCUAUCAGCAGGGAAGAAAAUGACGGUACCUGACCAAGAAGCCCCGGCUAACUACGUGCCAGCAGCCGCGGUAAUACGUAGGGGGCAAGCGUUAUCCGGAUUUACUGGGUGUAAAGGGAGCGUAGGCGGCGACGCAAGUCAGAAGUGAAAGCCCGGGGCUCAACUCCGGGACUGCUUUUGAAACUGCGUUGCUAGAUUGCGGGAGAGGCAAGUGGAAUUCCUAGUGUAGCGGUGAAAUGCGUAGAUAUCAGGAGGAACACCAGUGGCGAAGGCGGCUUGCUGGACGAUGACUGACGUUGAGGCUCGAAAGCGUGGGGAGCAAACAGGAUUAGAUACCCUUGUAU
rnacentral:rRNA from 1 species